rnacentral:rRNA from 1 species
GACACGGUCCAUACUCCUACGGGAGGCAGCAGUAGGGAAUCUUCCACAAUGGGCGCAAGCCUGAUGGAGCAACACCGCGUGAGUGAAGAAGGGUUUCGGCUCGUAAAGCUCUGUUGUUGGAGAAGAACGUGCGUGAGAGUAACUGUUCACGCAGUGACGGUAUCCAACCAGAAAGUCACGGCUAACUACGUGCCAGCAGCCGCGGUAAUACGUAGGUGGCAAGCGUUAUCCGGAUUUAUUGGGCGUAAAGCGAGCGCAGGCGGUUGCUUAGGUCUGAUGUGAAAGCCUUCGGCUUAACCGAAGAAGUGCAUCGGAAACCGGGCGACUUGAGUGCAGAAGAGGACAGUGGAACUCCAUGUGUAGCGGUGGAAUGCGUAGAUAUAUGGAAGAACACCAGUGGCGAAGGCGGCUGUCUGGUCUGCAACUGACGCUGAGGCUCGAAAGCAUGGGUAGCGAACAGGAUUAGAUACCCUGGUAGUCCAUGCCGUAAACGAUGAGUGCUAGGUGUUGGAGGGUUUCCGCCCUUCA